UAGGGAAUAUUGGGCAAUGGGCGAAAGCCUGACCCAGCAACGCCGCGUGCGUGAUGAAGGUCUUCGGAUCGUAAAGCGCUUUUCUGGGAGAUGAGAAAGGACAGUAUCCCAGGAAUAAGUCUCGGCUAACUACGUGCCAGCAGCCGCGGUAAAACGUAGGAGGCAAGCGUUAUCCGGAUUCACUGGGCGUAAAGCGCGUGCAGGUGGCGCGGUAAGUUGGGCGUGAAAUCUCCCGGCUCAACUGGGAGAGGUCGUCCAAUACUACCGUGCUUGAGAGCAGAAGAGGAAGAUGGAAUUCCCGGUGUAGUGGUGAAAUGCGUAGAUAUCGGGAGGAACACCAGUGGCGAAGGCGAUCUUCUGGUCUGUUUCUGACACUCAGACGCGACAGCUAGGGUAGUAAACGGGAUUAGAGACCCCGGUAAUCCUAGCCGUAAACGAUGUCGAACUUGGCGUUGGUGGGUUAAACUCCAAUCAGUGCCGCAGCAAACG
rnacentral:rRNA from 1 species